UACCAAGAAAUCCGAGCUUCAGCCAUCUAAAACCAUGAACCGAACCGAUCUUGAAAAAAAUCGAAUCCGAUUUUGGUUAAACCAAGUAGACAAUGAACGCCGAAGCUUACAUUUUCCGUCCGAUAACCCAAAACCCCUUUUCGCUGUUUAAAAUCUGUGAAAAUGUACUUUUAUCUCCGGCGACGAAGAGAGUAAUAAGCAAAGCUCUCGCAAUGACCGAAGCUCCACGCCAUCGAGUAGCUGCGUCGGAGAUUUUUCCUCCAUUAACUCGGGCACACCACAAUCGGGAAUCGGCUCAUUUGUCUGACUGUUCUCGCAAGGAGCUCUCUUGGAUCUUCUGACAUAAACUGGUGUGUAUAGUUCACCUAAAAAAAAGCUCAUCUUAAUGGGAUUACAAGCACAAGAAGCUUAUCCUGAGCUCUGGCAUCAUGCCACUGAUGGUGAUUAUUCAGGGUAAAGUGCAACGACUCAGAGUUGGUGGUAGGCCCCCAGGGUCAGCUAUAAUUCUUUCAAGUCAGGUGAUGGAACAGCCACAGUCUGCUACUGUCAUGGACUGAGAAAGCUGGGAUGUGGGGAAAGCAGUCGCGCUUGGUGGAGUUGAACCUCCAGAGCAAAGUUUGUCACACACUUGGAUAAAACAGCUACAAGGGAGAAUUCGGAUUUAGAGAUUAGUGGAGCCGAAAAUUGGGUCAAACAGCCCGUGACCAAGUGUCAGAAGCUUUACUGCUUGCUUGGAGAAGCUUUAGUCAAUCUGGUGCAUUUGAAUGUUUUUGCUCAGCAAAAGUAAAUCUAUAGAGUGACACAUUAGCUAAGCAUUGGACAACAAGAAGUAGAGGUGCUGACAUAGUGGCUAGGACUGUCAUAUCUGCACAAUUGGUCGAGAAAUGUCUUUGCUUUUUUUGCUCUAUCCAAAUGCCAUGAGGAGUUGUGUUGUAAUUUGUAAACAGAGUACUCACCUGGAUCUCACUGUUUUCUUUUUUUUUUUUGU